rnacentral:rRNA from 1 species
GCCUACGGGAGGCAGCAGUGGGGAAUAUUGCGCAAUGGGCGAAAGCCUGACGCAGCAACGCCGCGUGAGGGAUGACGGCCUUCGGGUUGUAAACCUCUUUCAGCAGGGACGAAGCGAAAGUGACUGUACCUGCAGAAGAAGCGCCGGCUAACUACGUGCCAGCAGCCGCGGUAAUACGUAGGGCGCAAGCGUUGUCCGGAUUUAUUGGGCGUAAAGAGCUCGUAGGCGGUCUGUCGCGUCGGAUGUGAAAACCCGGAACUCAACUCCGGGCCUGCAUUCGAUACGGGCAGACUUGAGUACUGCAGGGGAGACUGGAAUUCCUGGUGUAGCGGUGGAAUGCGCAGAUAUCAGGAGGAACACCGGUGGCGAAGGCGGGUCUCUGGGCAGAAACUGACGCUGAGGAGCGAAAGCGUGGGGAGCGAACAGGAUUAGAUACCCUAGUAGUC